rnacentral:rRNA from 1 species
UACGUAGGUCGCAAGCGUUGUCCGGAUUUACUGGGCGUAAAGAGCGCGCAGGCGGCUGGUCAAGUCCGAUGUGAAAUCUCCCGGCUCAACUGGGAAACUGCAUCGGAAACUGAUCGGCUUGAAGAUGGGAGAGGGUAGUGGAAUUCCCGGUGUAGUGGUGAAAUGCGUAGAUAUCGGGAGGAACACCAGAGGCGAAGGCGGUUACCUGGACAGUUACUGACGCUCAGGCACGAAAGCGUGGGGAGCAAAAGGG